rnacentral:rRNA from 2 species
GUUAUAACCGGCGAUACCCGAAUGGGGAAACCCAGUGUGACUCGUCACACUAUCAUUAACUGAAUCCAUAGGUUAAUGAGGCGAACCGGGGGAACUGAAACAUCUAAGUACCCCGAGGAAAAGAAAUCAACCGAGAUUCCCCCAGUAGCGGCGAGCGAACGGGGAGGAGCCCAGAGCCUGAAUCAGCAUGUGUGUUAGUGGAAGCGUCUGGAAAGGCGCGCGAUACAGGGUGACAGCCCCGUACACAAAAGCGCAUGUGCUGUGAGCUCGAUGAGUAGGGCGGGACACGUGGUAUCCUGUCUGAAUAUGGGGGGACCAUCCUCCAAGGCUAAAUACUCCUGACUGACCGAUAGUGAACCAGUACCGUGAGGGAAAGGCGAAAAGAACCCCGGCGAGGGGAGUGAAAAAGAACCUGAAACCGUGU